CUGUAUCCAUGUGACCUGCAGAUAGCGCUGUAUCCAUGUGACCUGCAGAUAGCGCUGUAUCCAUGUGACCUGCAGAUAGCGCUGUAUUCAUGUGACCUGUAGGUGGCGCUGUAUCCAUGUGACCUGCAGGUGGCGCUGUAUCCAUGUGACCUGCAGAUAGUGCUGUAUCCACGUGACCUGCAGGUGGCGCUGUAUCCACGUGACCUGCAGGUGGCGCUGUAUCCACGUGACCUGCAGGUGGCGCUGUAUCCACGUGACCUGCAGGUGGCGCUGUAUCCACGUGACCUGCAGGUGGCGCUGUAUCCAUGUGACCUGCAGGUGGCGCUGUAUCCAUGUGACCGCCAGGUGGCGCUGUAUCCACGUGACCUGCAGAUAGUGCUGUAUCCACGUGACCUGCAGGUGGCGCUGUAUCCACGUGACCUGCAGGUGGCGCUGUAUCCACGUGA